rnacentral:tRNA from 1 species
GGAGAGGUGGCUGAGUGGUCGAAGGCGCUCCCCUGCUAAGGGAGUAGGGGGAUAAAACCCCCUCGAGGGUUCGAAUCCCUCCCUCUCCG